UGGGGAAUAUUGCACAAUGGAGGGAACUCUGAUGCAGCAACGCCGCGUGCGGGAUGACGGCCUUCGGGUUGUAAACUGCUUUCAGCCAUGACGAAGCUUUUGUGACGGUAGUGGUAGAAGAAGCACCGGCUAACUACGUGCCAGCAGCCGCGGUGAUACGUAGGGUGCGAGCGUUGUCCGGAAUUAUUGGGCGUAAAGAGCUUGUAGGCGGUUUGUCGCGUCGAAAGUGUAAACUCAGUGCUUAACGCUGAGCCUGCUUUCGAUACGGGCUGACUAGAGGAGGGUAGGGGAGAAUGGAAUUCCCGGUGGAGCGGUGGAAUGCGCAGAUAUCGGGAGGAACACCAGUGGCGAAGGCGGUUCUCUGGACCUUUCCUGACGCUGAGAAGCGAAAGCGUGGGUAGCAAACAGG
rnacentral:rRNA from 1 species